rnacentral:rRNA from 1 species
GAGUUACUGCUAUCGAGGUUCGACUAAGCCAUGCGAGUCGAAUGUAGCAAUACAUGGCGAACUGCUCAGUAACACGUGGACAACCUGCCCUUAGGACGGGGAUAAACCCGGGAAACUGGGUAUAAUACCCGAUAGGUCUCGAUUGCUGGAAUGCAUCGAGAUUUAAAGCUCCGGCGCCUAAGGAUGGGUCUGCGGCCUAUCAGGUAGUAGUGGGUGUAGCGUACCUACUAGCCUACGACGGGUACGGGUUGUGAGAGCAAGAGCCCGGAGAUGGAUUCUGAGACACGAAUCCAGGCCCUACGGGGUGCAGCAGGCGCGAAAACUUUACAAUGCUGGCAACAGCGAUAAGGGAACCUCGAGUGCCAGGUUACAAAUCUGGCUGUCGAGAUGCCUAAAAAGCAUUUCAUAGCAAGGGCCGGGCAAGACCGGUGCCAGCCGCCGCGGUAACACCGGCGGCUCGAGUGGUAACCGUUAUUAUUGGGUCUAAAGGGUCUGUAGCCGGCCGGAUAAGUCUCUUGAGAAAUCUGGCAGCUUAACUGUCAGGCUUUCAGGAGAUACUGUCUGGCUCGAGGCCGGGAGAGGUGAGAGGUACUUCAGGGGUAGGGGUGAAAUCUUGUAAUCCUUGAAGGACCACCAGUGGCGAAGGCGUCUCACCAGAACGGACCUGACGGCAAGGGACGAAAGCUAGGGGCACGAACCGGAUUAGAUACCCGGGUAGUCCUAGCCGUAAACGAUACUCGCUAGGUGUCGGCCACGGUGCGACCGUUGUCGGUGCCGUAGGGAAGCCGUGAAGCGAGCCACCUGGGAAGUACGGCCGCAAGGCUGAAACUUAAAGGAAUUGGCGGGGGAGCACCACAACGGGUGGAGCUUGCGGUUUAAUUGGAUUCAACGCCGG